rnacentral:rRNA from 1 species
CCUACGGGAGGCAGCAGUGGGGAAUAUUGGGCAAUGGACGCAAGUCUGACCCAGCAACGCCGCGUGAAGGAAGAAGGCUUUCGGGUUGUAAACCUCUUUUAAGGGGGAAGAGCAGAAGACGGUACCCCUUGAAUAAGCCACGGCUAACUACGAGCCAGCAGCCGGGGUAAUACGUAGGUGGCAAGCGUUGUCCGGAUUUACUGGGUGUAAAGGGCGUGCAGGCGGAGAGACAAGUCAGAUGUGAAAUCCACGGGCUCAACCCGUGAACUGCAUUUGAAACUGUUUGCCUUGAGUGUCCGAGAGGUAAGCGGAAUUCCUUGUGUAGCGGUGAAAUGCGUAGAUAUAAGGAGGAACACCAGUGGCGAAGGCGGUUUACUGGCCUGGAACUGACGUUGAGGCUCGAAGGCGUGGGGAGCAAACAGGAUUAGAUACCCCAGUAGUC